GAUGAGGGAGACGGUGGUUAUGAUGAAUGAUUGGUGUUAAUGGAACAUGUGCUCUUAGGUUCAGCAGAGGUUUACAUUUAUCUGAUGCUUUUCUACAAAAAUAACUUACAAUUCUUUGCCCAUUUAUACAGCUGGGUACUUUACAGGAACAAUUCUGGCAAAGUAUCCUGCUCAGAGGCAGUAAAGCUGGGGGUGGGAUUUAACCCUGCAACCUGUGAGUCCACAGACAGCAGAUCUAACCACUGUGCUCCCAGCUGCCUCUAUGUUCAUGCGGUGGUACUUGGUAUGAAAACAUCUCUGUUUUAUUACCGCAGUGUUUUUUGUGGUGUAGUUAGUCAAAGGUUUUCCGUGCCUUUACAAGCGCUGGGCGGCAACGGGAUCGCCGACCGACUCUGAGCGAGCGGCUGAUGCAACGGGCAGACACAUCUCGAAACCACCCGAGAAACCGCACUCCUUCGCACGUGGCCCGAGGUUACCUUCCCGUGCCUGGAGACGUUCCCAUCAGAGAUGUUCUCAUCAGACACCUUGUUUCAUCAGCUCAGCAUCACUUUCCACGUGCUUGUGAUGAUGGCCUGAGAUGAAGGAACCGAAUGCAGCCCGCGUGUGUGCAUCGUCUCUGUCCUGGGGGGGCGGCGCCGGAGAUGGAGCGCAGCGCUCUGCUCGACGCCUCGGGUGUGUCGCCGGAUGAGGAACUGUCCGUAAAAGACGUCCGCCGUGUUUUCCACAAGGUGCUUCACGUGUCCGUGAGCCCACGGGAUGUGGAGAAAGCCAUCAGAAAGGUAACUGGGGACACCCACGGCCCUGUUUGCGGCGCGGGGAAGCUGCUGGACGUCCUUGCCGAGAUUGAGAAUGAGCGUGUCACCAGCGAGGAGCUCUACUGGGAUUUCCAAAUGCUAAAUGCUGGGAGGCUUCGAACGCUGGAACAUUUGUAUGCAAAGGAUAUAAAGCUCUCAGUCAGGAGCUUUUCGCCCACAAUGCCUUGGAGCUCCCCAUGCCUUCAUGACCAAAGGCAGAAAAAUCAAGAAGCUCGGACGCGAAGCCUUUCCCAAGAACGUACGCACGGUGAAGAAGAUCUCUUGUUGGGCGUAAGUGGACUGCAGGGGGAGCGACUAAAGAAGAGGUUCUACGCGCGGAGGCUUAAGAAAGAUGUGAGGAGGCUGUGCAACAGGUAAAUUACAGCAGGCAGUAAUGAUGGGGCCCAAAGACUGUCUCGAGUCUCAAAUACUCGCAUAUAUAAAAUAUAUAAACAAUGUACACAGAUGGUGCUUCUGAGUUUUUGUUUUCUCUCUUUUUUUGUUGCUGCAGACAUGUAUUUGGAUUUUUUUUUUUUUUUUUUUUUUUUUUUUAAAAAAAAGGGUAUUCCUUUCUAAAUUGAGCAAUUUCAUUUCAUUUCAUCUGCAGGCACGGAUAUUCUGAAAAUCAUUUUAUUUUCAGCAAAGGCAGGCAGCAACGGUUUUGAAAAGACUGAUUAUGGACAUAUUCCCCAUCUUGUUCUCCUUUCAGAAUGAAAAGGGAAAUAAGCAGAAGUUUAUCCCAUUUGGUGUCCGUGCACAAGGAAAAUGUUCCCGCUCAGGAUCAGUUUCUCUAAAUCCGGCUUGCUGACAUUAAUGCUCAAAAUUCCAUUGAAUUAAUCAUGUGCGGUUUUUGUCUCUGACGAGAAUAAAACAAUUCUUGAGCUUCA
ensembl:lncRNA